CAAUGCCUACGGGAGGCAGCAGUGGGGGAUAUUGCACAAUGGGGGAAACCCUGAUGCAGCGACGCCGCGUGGACGAAGAAGUAUUUCGGUAUGUAAAGUCCUAUCAGCAGGGAAGAAGAAAUGACGGUACCUGACUAAGAAGCCCCGGCUAACUACGUGCCAGCAGCCGCGGUAAUACGUAGGGGGCAAGCGUUAUCCGGAUUUACUGGGUGUAAAGGGAGCGCAGGCGGCAGCGCAAGUCUGAUGUGAAAGCCCGGGGCCCAACCGCGGGACGGCAUUGGAAACUGUGCAGCGGGAGUGCCGGG
rnacentral:rRNA from 1 species